rnacentral:tRNA from 1 species
GGCGGCUUAGCCAAGUGGUAAGGCAGCGGUCUGCAAAACCGCAAUUCCCGGGUUCGAAUCCCGGAGCCGCCU